ensembl:rRNA 5S_rRNA 5S ribosomal RNA
UGUCGACGGCCAUACCACCCUGAACGCACCCGAUUUCUUCUAAUCUUGGAAGCUAAGCAGGGUCGGGCUUGGUUAGUACUUGGAUGGGAGAAAUGCUUGCUUUAUCACAA